rnacentral:rRNA from 1 species
AGAGUUUGAUCCUGGCUCAGGAUGAACGCUGACAGAAUGCUUAACACAUGCAAGUCUACUUGAACUUCGGUUUGGGUGGCGGACGGGUGAGUAACGCGUAAAGAACUUGCCUCACAGAUAGGGACAACAUUUGGAAACGAAUGCUAAUACCUGAUAUUAUGAUUUUAGGGCAUCCUAAGAUUAUGAAAGCUAUAUGCGCUGUGAGAGAGCUUUGCGUCCCAUUAGCUAGUUGGAGAGGUAACGGCUCACCAAGGCGAUGAUGGGUAGCCGGCCUGAGAGGGUGAACGGCCACAAGGGGACUGAGACACGGCCCUUACUCCUACGGGAGGCAGCAGUGGGGAAUAUUGGACAAUGGACCAAAAGUCUGAUCCAGCAAUUCUGUGUGCACGAUGACGUUUUUCGGAAUGUAAAGUGCUUUCAGUUGGGAAGAAAAAAAUGACGGUACCAACAGAAGAAGUGACGGCUAAAUACGUGCCAGCAGCCGCGGUAAUACGUAUGUCACAAGCGUUAUCCGGAUUUAUUGGGCGUAAAGCGCGUCUAGGUGGUUAUGUAAGUCUGAUGUGAAAAUGCAGGGCUCAACUCUGUAUUGCGUUGGAAACUGCAUGACUAGAGUACUGGAGAGGUAAGCGGAACUACAAGUGUAGAGGUGAAAUUCGUAGAUAUUUGUAGGAAUGCCGAUGGGGAAGCCAGCUUACUGGACAGAUACUGACGCUAAAGCGCGAAAGCGUGGGUAGCAAACAGGAUUAGAUACCCUGGUAGUCCACGCCGUAAACGAUGAGUGCUAGG